GACAGAGGUCCCGAGCGUUAGGCGGAAUCACUGGGCUUAAAGCGUGUGUAGGCGGAGUGCUAAGUACCUUGUGAAAUCCCACGGCUCAACCGUGGAACUGCUUGGUAUACUGGUUCUCUUGAGCCACCUAGGGGCAACCGGAACAAACGGUGGAGCGGUGAAAUGCGUAGAUAUCGUUUGGAACGCCAAUGGUGAAAACAGGUUGCUGGGGGUGUGCUGACGCUGAGACACGAAAGCUAGGGGAGCGAAUGGG
rnacentral:rRNA from 1 species